ensembl:snoRNA
CCCUCUUAGAAAGGGCAUGUCUGUGCUUCCCUGUCUUUGGACGUGUAAGAAUUGGAGGGAAAGAAAUGUGGACUUGGGGCAGUUCCUGGGCCAGCUUGUUCCUCCCAGGCUCAAGAUCAACCAUCCCACAUAG